AUCUCUUGAAGCAGAUUCCUGUAUCAUGGUAGCAGAACAUGAAUUGUACAUCCAGAGAGUCUGCAUCUUAAGAAGGUAGAGGAUUCUGCAAUUCUUUAACUUCAUGUCACACGGGGUUUAUGUUGGAAAAAAAUUAGAAUCAAAUAAAGAACAAAUUAACCACGCAAAUGAAUUAUUAUCCAUUAUUUCAUUUUUUUUUUAAGCUUUGUAUAUAAUCAGCAUCGACCAAAGAAUGAAUACAAUGCAACCCUCAAGCUCAACCGCUCACAAAACCAAGAAAUCAACCAAAUUUCAAAGCAACAAUAUACCAUCCUGUUACAUAGAAUCAAUCAAUGCCUCAAGAAAGCAACGAAUGAUAGAAGAAGAGAAGAUGUCACCACAGCACCAGACACUGGUAGAGACAACCCUGCUCCAGUAUCCAUGGAAGGAGCUGGCGCAAGUGAAGUUUGAGCGGACACAUUAGCAGCUGCCAUGAAAACGGAGACGAUGCAGGCAACGGCAACAGCUUGGAAACUGCUAAUUUGUGCCAUUUUAAGUGAUCGAAGGAGAAGAAGAUUACUUGAAAUGUGUUGUGAAGAAUUGCAGAGAGAUAGAAU
rnacentral:misc_RNA from 1 species